CUGAAUAGGGCGCAUAAGUAACAGGUCGUAGACCCGAAACCAGGUGAUCUACCCAUGUCCAGGAUGAAGGUAAGGUAAUACUUACUGGAGGUCCGAACCCACGCACGUUGAAAAGUGCGGGGAUGAGGUGUGGGUAGCGGAGAAAUUCCAAUCGAACUUGGAGAUAGCUGGUUCUCUCCGAAAUAGCUUUAGGGCUAGCCUCGAGGUAAAGAGUCAUGGAGGUAGAGCACUGUUUGGACUAGGGGCCCUUCUCGGGUUACCGAAUUCAGAUAAACUCCGAAUGCCAUGUACUUAUACUCGGGAGUCAGACUGCGAGUGAUAAGAUCCGUAGUCGAAAGGGAAACAGCCCAGACCACCAGUUAAGGUCCCCAAAUAUAUGUUAAGUGGAAAAGGAUGUGGGGUUGCUUAGACAACCAGGAUGUUGGCUUAGAAGCAGCCACCAUUGAAAGAGUGCGUAAUAGCUCACUGGUCGAGUGACCCCGCGCCGAAAAUGUACCGGGGCUAAACAUAUUACCGAAACUGUGGAUGAACCUCUUUAGAGGUUCGUGGUAGGAGAGCGUUCUAAGGGCGGUGAAGUCAGACCGGAAGGACUGGUGGAGCGCUUAGAAGUGAGAAUGCCGGUAUGAGUAGCGAAAGAAGGGUGAGAAUCCCUUCCACCGAAUAUCUAAGGUUUCCUGAGGAAGGCUCGUCCGCUCAGGGUUAGUCGGGACCUAAGCCGAGGCCGAUAGGCGUAGGCGAUGGACAACAGGUAGAGAUUCCUGUACCAGUGCUAAUUGUUUAACCGAUGGGGUGACACAGAAGGAUAGGGAAUCGCACGAAUGGAAAUGUGCGUCCAAGCAGUGAGUGUGAGAAGUAGGCAAAUCCGCUUCUCGCGAAGCAUGAGCUGUGAUGGGGAAGGAAAUUAAGUACGGAAGUUCCUGAUUUCACGCUGUCAAGAAAAGCCUCUAGGAAGAGUAGUACUGCCCGUACCGCAAACCGACACAGGUAGAUGAGGAGAGAAUCCUAAGGUGAGCGAGAGAACUCUCGUUAAGGAACUCGGCAAAAUGACCCCGUAACUUCGGGAGAAGGGGUGCUCUAUUAGGGUGCAAGCCCGAGAGAGCCGCAGUGAAUAGGCCCAGGCGACUGUUUAGCAAAAACACAGGUCUCUGCAAAACCGUAAGGUGACGUAUAGGGGCUGACGCCUGCCCGGUGCUGGAAGGUUAAGAGGAGUGCUUAGCUUCGGCGAAGGUACGAAUUGAAGCCCCAGUAAACGGCGGCCGUAACUAUAACGGUCCUAAGGUAGCGAAAUUCCUUGUCGGGUAAGUUCCGACCCGCACGAAAGGCGCAACGAUCUGGGCACUGUCUCAACGAGAGACUCGGUGAAAUUAUAGUACCUGUGAAGAUGCAGGUUACCCGCGACAGGACGGAAAGACCCCGUGGAGCUUUACUGCAACCUGAUAUGGAAUGUUUGUACCGCUUGUACAGGAUAGGUAGGAGCCGAAGAGACGUGUGCGCUAGCAUACGAGGAGGCAAUGGUGGGAUACUACCCUGGCUGUAUGACCAUUCUAACCCGCCACGCUUAGCGCGUGGGGAGACAGUGUCAGGUGGGCAGUUUGACUGGGGCGGUCGCCUCCUAAAGAGUAACGGAGGCGCCCAAAGGUUCCCUCAGAAUGGAUGGAAAUCAUUCGCAGAGUGUAAAGGCACAAGGGAGCUUGACUGCGAGACUGACAAGUCGAGCAGGGACGAAAGUCGGGCUUAGUGAUCCGGUGGUUCCGCAUGGAAGGGCCAUCGCUCAACGGAUAAAAGCUACCCCGGGGAUAACAGGCUUAUCUCCCCCAAGAGUCCACAUCGACGGGGAGGUUUGGCACCUCGAUGUCGGCUCGUCGCAUCCUGGGGCUGUAGUCGGUCCCAAGGGUUGGGCUGUUCGCCCAUUAAAGCGGCACGCGAGCUGGGUUCAGAACGUCGUGAGACAGUUCGGUCCCUAUCCGUCGCGGGCGCAGGAAAUUUGAGAGGAGCUGUCCUUAGUACGAGAGGAC
rnacentral:rRNA from 1 species